UACGUAGGGUGCAAGCGUUGUCCGGAUUUAUUGGGCGUAAAGAGCUCGUAGGCGGUUUGUCGCGUCGGAUGUGAAAACCCAGGGCUCAACCCUGGGACUGCAUUCGAUACGGGCAAGCUAGAGUAUGGCAGGGGAGACUGGAAUUCCUGGUGUAGCGGUGAAAUGCGUAGAUAUCUGGAGGAAUACCGGUGGCGAAGGCGGCAUCCUGGACCGGCAUUGACGCUGAGAAGCGAAAGCGUGGGGAGCAAACGGG
rnacentral:rRNA from 1 species